rnacentral:piRNA from 1 species
UGUCCAGCUUACACUGGUGACUUAGUGG